CUUCCUCCUCUGUUUCUCUCUGUCUUCUCUACUCUACUCUACUGUGUUGGCCAACACUCUCUCUCUCUCCCUCUCUUUGCUGUCUCCCUUCAUAGGGCACGGGCAGGAGUGCUAUGUGUGCAUCCCCUCAGGCUAGGUCUCGGGAGCUAUGAACAAGUAGGAGGGGACGAAAAUCAUGCAUCGUAGUGGGCGCUAGAGUGGAGGGGUGACUGUGGAUGUUGACUGUCUCUCCAAGUGGGCCUGAUGUAGAUAGGAUGGGAGAGGGAGGCAGGGAUGAGGGCAAGAUUACUUGCACCAAUUGAAUUUUGUGUAGUGAUGGCUCUUGCUUCGCUCAUUUCCUGCGCUUGCAGAGGAAUUGUCCAGGAGCAGCAGCUGAAGGAGAAAGUGGCAGACAAGGACCUGAGGAGCCUGGACAUCCUUCUAAGCAGACAUGAAUGGUCCUCAGAUUUCUGCCUCCCGCACAACUGGCUGUGAGUAAGCGGUCAGUGCUUGGAAUCCCUCAUCUGUACUGGCUCUGGUCUUGUUCAGAGGCUCUGAAUUUCCUCAUUGGACACGGUGCUCUGUGGGAUUCAGACGAGGCAAAGGCACAAGUUUCCUGUGCAGAUACCAAGGGAAAAGAGAGCUCGCAUCAGAGUCUACUGCCCUCAUGCGAUGGAAAUCAAGCGAGAGCAAUGGGACCAUGAGAAUUAUUGCUGCCAUGAACAAGCCGUGCAACUGGGAGAACAGACGCGACUCUCAAUGAGAUGUGUCUGUCUUGCUGUUCUAACAGAGGAAUUGUUGUUCUGGAGCCGUAGCCGGAGGAGAGACUGCAUCUGAGCAGCUUGGACAUCGUUCUAAGCAGACAUGAACAGUCCUCACUUUCUGCCUUCUGCAUAACUACACUUCAUGACUUUUAGCGUCACAUCUGAAGCCUAAGGUAAAUGCAGGGUAGAAGCUGAGUACAGGCAGCUGCUUCC